rnacentral:rRNA from 1 species
CUUGAACGCUAGCGGGAUGCUUUACACAUGCAAGUCGAACGAGUGGCGGACGGGUGAGUAAUAUAUCGGAACGUGCCCAGUCGCGGGGGAUAACUACUCGAAAGCGUAGCUAAUACCGCAUACUAUCGGAGCGGCCGAUAUCGGAUUAGCUAGUUGGUGGGGUAAAGGCUCACCAAGGCAACGAUCCGUAGCUGGUUUGAGAGGAAGAUCAGCCACACUGGGACUGAGACACGGCCCAGACUCCUACGGGAGGCAGCAGUGGGGAAUUGUGGACAAUGGGGGAAAGCCUGAUGCAGCCAUCCCGCGUGUAUGAGAAGGCCUUCGGGUUGUAAAGUACUUUUGGCAGGGAAGCGGUAUCUGCAGAAGAAGCACCGGCUAACUACGUGCCAGCAGCCGCGGUAAUAC